rnacentral:rRNA from 1 species
GACAGAGGGUGCAAACGUUGUUCGGAAUUACUGGGCGUAAAGCGCGUGUAGGCGGCUGCGCAAGUCGGAUGUGAAAUCCCAUGGCUCAACCAUGGAAGUGCACCCGAAACUGCGUAGCUAGAGUCUCGGAGAGGAAGGUGGAAUGCUUGGUGUAGAGGUGAAAUUCGUAGAUAUGACCCGGAACACCUAUUGCGAAGGCAGCAGGCUAAACAAAUAUUGACGCUGAGGCUCGAAAGCGUGGGGAUCAAACAGG